rnacentral:rRNA from 1 species
UACGUAGGGUGCAAGCGUUUAAUCGGAAUUACUGGGCGUAAAGCGUGCGCAGGCGGUGAUGUAAGACAGAUGUGAAAUCCCCGGGCUCAACCUGGGAACUGCAUUUGUGACUGCAUCGCUGGAGUACGGGCAGAGGGGGGAUGGAAUUCCGCGUGUAGCAGUGAAAUGCGUAGAUAUGCGGAGGAACACCGAUGGCGAAGGCAAUCCCCUGGGCCUGUACUGACGCUCAUGCACGAAAGCGUGGGGGAGCAAACAGG